GACGAACGCUGGCGGCGUGCUUAACACAUGCAAGUCGAACGAUGACGACCGAGCUUGCUCGGUCUGAUUAGUGGCGAACGGGUGAGUAACACGUGAGCAACCUGCCCUUCACUCUGGGAUAACCUCGGGAAAUCGGGGCUAAUACCGGAUAUGAGCUCUGUCGCCUGGGGGGUGUUGGGAAGGUUUUCGGUGAAGGAUGGGGUCGCGGCCUAUCAGUUUGUUGGUGAGGUAGUGGCUCACCAAGGCGAUGACGGGUAGCCGGCCUGAGAGGGCGACCGGCCACACUGGGACUGAGACACGGCCCAGACUCCUACGGGAGGCAGCAGUGGGGAAUAUUGCACAAUGGGCGAAAGCCUGAUGCAGCGACGCCGCGUGAGGGAUGACGGCCUUCGGGUUGUAAACCUCUUUCAGCAGGGAAGAAGCGAAAGUGACGGUACCUGCAGAAGAAGCGCCGGCUAACUACGUG
rnacentral:rRNA from 1 species